GCGCAAGCCCCACCCACGCCUCGCCACGCCCCACGCGUCCGGCACACGCCCCGCCCACAUCCCGACUGCUUGGCCCGCCCCGGAUGCCCACGCGCGCUGACCGGCUCCCGAGGGCAUGGCGAACCAGGUGAUCAAGUGCAAGGCAGCUGUUGCCUGGGAGGCCGGGAAGCCUCUCUCCAUUGAGGAGGUAGAGGUGGCACCGCCAAAGGCUCAUGAAGUUCGAAUUAAGAUUAUUGCCACUGCAGUGUGCCACACUGAUGCCUACACCCUGAGUGGGGCUGAUCCUGAAGGCAGUUUUCCAGUGAUCUUAGGGCACGAAGGUGCUGGAAUUGUGGAAAGUGUUGGCGUAGGAGUUACUAAGCUAAAAGCAGGUGAUACUGUCAUCCCACUUUACAUCCCUCAAUGUGGAGAAUGCAAAUUCUGUCUAAAUCCUAAAACAAACCUUUGCCAGAAGAUAAGAGUCACUCAAGGGAAAGGAUUAAUGCCAGAUGGCACUAGCAGAUUUACUUGCAAAGGAAAGAAAAUUUUACAUUACAUGGGAACCAGUACGUUCUCUGAAUACACAGUUGUGGCUGACAUCUCUGUUGCUAAAAUUGAUCCUUCAGCACCUUUGGAUAAAGUCUGCCUCCUGGGUUGUGGCAUUUCCACUGGCUACGGUGCUGCUGUGAACACUGCCAAGGUGGAGCCUGGCUCUACUUGUGCCAUCUUUGGCCUUGGAGGAGUUGGAUUGGCGGUUAUCAUGGGCUGCAAGGUAGCUGGUGCAUCCCGGAUCAUUGGUGUGGAUAUCAAUAAAAAUAAAUUUGCAAGGGCCAAGGAGUUUGGAGCCUGUGAAUGUAUCAGCCCCCAGGACUUCAGUAAACCCAUCCAGGAAGUGCUCGUUGAGAUGACUGAUGGGGGAGUAGACUAUUCCUUUGAGUGUAUUGGUAAUGUGAAAGUCAUGCGUUUUUGGGGAAGCAGAUAUUCUCGGCAGAAUGCACUGACUUCUGUGAUUUGGUUCAUCUCUGCCCGCAGAGAGCCGCGCUGGAGGCCUGCCACAAAGGCUGGGGCGUCAGCGUGGUGGUGGGAGUCGCUGGUGCCGGUGAAGAGAUCGCCACUCGGCCCUUCCAGCUCGUCACAGGACGCACGUGGAAGGGCACCGCCUUCGGAGGAUGGAAGAGUGUAGAAAGUGUCCCAAAGUUGGUGUCUGAAUAUAUGUCCAAAAAGAUAAAAGUUGAUGAAUUUGUGACCCACAAUCUGUCUUUUGGUGAAAUUAACAAAGCCUUUGAACUGCUGCAUGCGGGGGAGAGCAUCCGGACUGUUGUGAAGUUUUAAAUACAAAGAAAGUAUGUCCAUCCUUAGAACUGAGUCAUGUGAGCUGAUUGGAGCAGCCAGGCAGGCUGGGAGAAGCUCUUACAAGUCCACAGCCCCUUAGAUUUUGGGUAACCUACUCUAUGUAAUAAUGUUUUCUGUAUAAUUAAUAUCUCUAAUCAAGUGGAAGGCUAAUAGUGUCAUAAAUCUGUUUUCUGGAUGAUCCUUGUGAAUAAUUACUAGCUCAUUAAGGAAUUUUUUAACAAAAUAAAAGUAAUUUCUGUAUAA